rnacentral:rRNA from 1 species
AUUCUCUUUCUGCUUAACAUAACAAUCUGUUAUUCAAAUGCAUUCAAUUAUUAUUUCAUAUAUGUAAUAUUUAGAUAAUGCAAGCAUCUCCACCUUCUGACGUCACAUUGUCACAUAUGUGUAUUAUAUGUGACGUUUAAACAGUACUGCUAAUGUUAAAAUGCAGUAGAGUACACGAUAUCUUUUAGGAUUUAUUCUCUUUCUGCUUAACAUAACAAUCUGUUAUUCAAAUGCAUUCAAUUAUUAUUUUAUAUAUGUAAUAUUUAGAUAAUGCAAGCAUCUCCACCUUCUGACGUCACAUUGUCACAUAUGUGUAUUAUAUGUGACGUUUAAACAGUACUGCUAAUGUUAAAAUGCAGUAGAGUACACGAUAUCUUUGGCAUUCAAUUUUUCAUUCUUAUCAUGACAUCACAUAGAUCACGUGAAAUAGUAUGUGUUAUUUCAGGAAGUCUGACUGCAGACCAAGGGUAGUAAGCCCAUGUCUGUUUAUAACGUUAGAGGUGAAAUUUUUGGAUCGUCGCAAGACGGAUGACUGUGAAAGCAUUUGCCAAGAAUGUUUUAAUUGAUCAAGAACGAAAGUCAGAGGUUUGAAGACGAUCAGAUACCGUCCUAGUUCCGACUGUAAACGAUGCCGACUGGUGAUCUGCCGACGUUACUCCCUAGCUCCAUGGGCAGCCUCCGGGAAAUCAAAGUUUGGGGUUCCGGGGCAGUAUGGUUGCAAAGCUAAAACUUUAAGGAAUUGAUGGAAGGGCACCACCAGGAGUGGAGCCUGCGGCUUAAUUUGACACAACACGAGAAAACACAUCUGGCCCUGACAGGGCGAGGAUUGACAGAUUGAGAGCUCUUUCUUGAUUUCGUGGAUGGUGGUGCAUGGCCGUUCUUAGUUAGUGGAGUGAUUUGUCAGGUUCAUUCCGAUAACGAACAAGACUCUGGCUUGCUAAAUAGUAGUGCUACCCUUAACGUGUCAGCGACCGACUUCUUAGAGGGACAAGUGGCGUUCAGACGCCCGAGAUUGAGCAAUAACAGGUCAGUGAUGCCCUUAGAUGUCCGGGGCCGAAUGCGUGCUACACUGAAGGGAUCAGUGGGUGUCACCUCCCUGGCUGACAGAACCCAGGCAAUCUUAUGAGCCCCCUUUGUGCUAGGGAUAGGGAAUUGUAAUUCGGCCAACGGUCCCGGCCCUCUUUGCCCCGAAAGAAAAAAAGAGUGAGCACGUCAUAGUCUCGGCCCGGCCAGAGCUCCCCGACGCCAAAGCCGGCUGUAAGCUCCGCGGCGAGAAGAAAACCCCCA